rnacentral:rRNA from 2 species
CUAUGACGUAGCGCGGACGGGUGAGUAACAGUGGGCAACCUGCCUGUAAGCUGGGAUAACUUGGGAAACGAAGCAAUACGGAUAGGAUCUCUCUUCAUGGAGAUGAUUGAAAGAGGUUUCGGCAUCACUUACGAUGGGCCGCGGUGCAUUAGUAGUUGGUGAGGUAACGGUCACCAAGGCACGAUGCAUAGCCGCCUGAGGGUGAUCGGCCACACUGGACUGAGACAGGCCCAGACUCCUAGGGGGCACAGUAGGAAUUCCGCAAUGGACGAAAUCUGACGGACAACGCCGCGUGAGUAUGAAGGCUUUCGGGUCGUAAAACCUGUUGUUAGGGAAGAACAGUACGAGAGUAACUGCUGUACCUUGAGGUACCUAACCGAAAGCACGGCUACUACGUGCCAGCAGCCGCGGUAUACGAGGUGGCAAGCGUUAUCCGGAUUAUUGGGCGAAAGCGCGGCAGGCGGUUUCUUAGUCUGAUGUGAAAGCCCAGGCUCAACCGUGGAGGUCAUUGGAAACUGGGAACUUGAGUGCAGAAGAGAAAGCGGAAUUCCAGUGUAGCGGUGAAAUGCGUAAGAUGUGGAGGAACACAGUGGCGAAGGCGGCUUGGUCUGUAACUACGCUGAGGCGCGAAGCGUGGAGCAACAGGAUUAGUACCCUGGUAGUCCACGCCGUAAACGAUGAGUGCUAAGUGUUAGAGGGUUCCGCCUUUAGUGUGCAGCUAACGCAUUAAGCACUCCGCCUGGGGGUACGGUCGCAAGACUGAAAUCAAAGGAAUUGACGGGCCGCACAAGCGGUGGAGCAUGUG